rnacentral:lncRNA from 1 species
UUCAACAUAUUAAUUCAAACUUUGCAGCGGAUUAAAUUCAUUAACAUAAAAAGUCUUGGCACGAAGGCCUCAUCAAAACAUCUCAUAAAAAUCCAAUUAACAACUUAAUCAUGUAAAUUUAUAAACAAUACGUAAGGAAUAGAAAAGCAUGCAACAAAGUUCCCAUCCCGUUACGUAUCAGAGCACCUAAACGACUCAGUGAGGGAUAGCCACUCACGACAGCAAAAACACAGCAACCUACUCUCGAUCACCUGCAAGUUACUCAUACGAAGAGCAACAUUUUCAAGCAGAAGGGGUGAGAUUCACAAUCAAUAAUAAUAAUAUAUAAUUCAUCAAAUGCAUCUAACAACUUAAACUUCAUCAAUUAGUAAUAGUAAUUCUUUUAACGACUCCUAAACCAUAUCAUAUACUCAUCAUAUCAACAAUCAUAACUCGAUAUCAUAAGCAACAUCAUAACAGCAUCAUUUAACUUCAUAAUUAACAUCUUAAUCAUAAUCAUAUAACAUUAUACUCAUAAUUCGUAUACAACAUGACAACUUCAUAAUCAAUGACCUAAACAACGUAACAACAUCAUAUUCAUAGUUCAUAUACAACAUAACAACAUCAUUAAUUCAUGUUAACAUUCUCCACCUAGCACCUUAUUAACAACUCAUGAAUAGAGGACAACUUAGCAACUAUACGUAACAUCAUCAUUUCAUAAUAAUAAUUAUUCAUCAAACAUUCCAUCAGCAAUUCAUGAAUAAAAGACAACUUAUCAACUUAACAUAACCAUCAUCAAGUACAUUUAACAACUCAUAGAUAACAUCUCAUAAUCAUCAUCACAACAUUCAUAAUCACCAUCAUGUAACAUCAUAACAAUCUCAUAUUCAACACCAUAAACAGUCAUCAUAACAUCGUAAUCAAUAUCAUAAACAUCUUCUCAUAAUAAUAUAAACGACAUGACAUAAUCAUCACAUCAUAACAAUAUAAACAACUACAUAUAUUUAACAAUAAUGUUCUUACUUCUUUAACUUUAGUAACACUUACUAAUUCAACCAACAACGACGAUAACUACAAUUAUCCAAUAUAUAUAUAUAUAUAUAUAUAUAUUUCAUAAUCAACAAUAUCAUCAAUAAUAAAUAUCUAACUCAUCAAUUAAAUCUAUCACCCUGUCAUAAUAAUAAUUCAUCAAUAUAUAAGUAUAUCAUCAUUAACAACAUCAACCAAAUGAUAAUUAAAACCAACAACAACGACUCAUGCAACAACUCGACACCACCGCUAAGACUCAUGCAAGACAUGACAACUCCACUAAGACUCCUCAACAAAUGAAACUAUGCAUGUGGUACCAAAAUCAGGGCCGUGACCCACACCGCUGUCGAAUGGUUAAAGCAUUCUCAUCAGGACAUAAGUCCUCACCACUAACACCACUUUGAGCAACUAGUGCUCCACCACUUUGAACGACAAGGCGUUCCAGAGCCGAAGCUCUCCCACUUUUAUGCUUAUGCAACUGACCCACCUGUGUAUAUCUACAUACAACUCAACUACAAACACCGACAGUAUGAACGACGACAACCACCCCUCAACAAAUACAUAUAUUUAUAUAUAUGAAUAAGACUUACACCACAAUAAUACAACUAAUGAUAGCCAACAACAACUUCAACGCCAUAUAUUUUCCACAUAAUAUAUAUAUAUAUAUAUUUCACAUUAACCAACACCAGCCAACAUUUCCCACAACAUUAACCAACGUCGCCUAAAUAUUAACCAACUUUAAUCAAAGGUUAACCCACUUUAAUUAAACAUUAACCCACUUUAAUCAAAUAUUAACCAACAUAUUAACCAACAGAUGCAUCUUAAUCAAUAAUAACCAGUAACAUGGCAGCACACAAACAAUCUCAAAAUAUAACAACAUCAAAUGGUAAUCAACAUCUUAAAACAUCAUAUAUACAUAUAACACUUCAUCAAUCAUUGACAAUAUCGUAUUCACAAAUAUAUACAUACAUAUAUUAAUUCAUCAAUCAUAAACAAUUCUUCACUGUGACCUACGUGCAGUAAUUCGACCAUAACUCAAGUUCUAUAAAUCCUUUUGAAGUCAAACCAACGACAUUAGAAAGCUUACAACUUUCGUGUUUACACCUAAGACCAAUUAUGUACCAAUCAAUACCAGUUUUCAUUUCAAAUUCUGACAAAGUUGUGCUGAAAUUCAUAAAAAUUCACUAAGACCUCCUUGGAGUAUUUUCAUCAUAUCUCAUAAACCAAAAAUCAUUUUCGAGUCAAACUAAAGCCAUUGGAAAGCUAACAAAAUUAUCUACAACUUUCAUGUUUACACCAAAGACCAAUUCAAAACAGAAACAUGUGAAAAAGACGCAAGAACGCGAAACAGGUGAUGCUGUCUCUGUGCAGCUCGCGAGGCGAGUAAGUUUACUCACUGUGGCGAGUUGCGACGAACAACCCUACGGGAACAGACCAGUUUUCAGCCAAAAACCCAAUUUUUCAUCCACCCAAACCCCAAAUUUGAUAGGAAACUCAACCUAUAUUUAUUCUACAAUCUGAACAUCGAUUCUUAACACAAUUGCCAUCGUUUCUACACUUUUCAAUCCAAGAAUCAUACUCCAAAAACCUAACCCCCAAUUCCCAAUUUCAACUAGAACUAUGCUAAACCAAAAUCAGAAUUAUAUAACCAUUAUCAUUGAGAGAUAGUCUCACCCUUACCUUAAUUCAGAAGAAAAAUGCACAACGAUCGGAUUCCCUUGGCUCUACUUGCUCUUCUCUCCCUUGUCCUUGGUUUUUCUCUCCCAAAACUUGUUUUACGUAAAACUGCUUCUAACCUUUUCUUUUCCUAACUCCCAAAAUAUAACUCCUCCUUUAUUUCAUUAAACUCCCCUUAAUUCUAUUAAUUCCUAAUUAACUCUCCAACCUCCAAAAU